UGACUUUACUUUCAGUGAAGAGGCUUGGGGUCUAUGACAGUUGCUUAUGGUAUCAGUGCCCAUCUCUAGCUGUUGUCAUUCUUCUAUAUAAACAGUGAUUUUUACUGCUCAAGAGGGAACCUCUCAAGGUGCUUCUAAAACACGACUCCAGCUGGAGGGUGCUUUGUAAACUAUUCCAAGUCAGGAUGAAUACAGACUCAAAGGAGGUUUUGCCCAUGGAUGUGCAUGGUCCUGAGGCUUGGGAAGAACUGACCGUGAAGGUGGAGACGGAAAGUCGCCUCCAGCUGCAGGAAUCCAGACUGAAACGUAGCAGUCCCCUGGCGAGGGAAGUCUUCCGAACGCGCUUUCGACAGCUGUGUUACCAGGAAACUCCUGGACCCAGGGAGGCCCUCACCCAGCUCCGUGAGCUGUGCCGCCAGUGGUUGAGGCCUCAUGCCAGCACGAAGGAGCAGAUCCUGGAGCUGCUGGUGCUGGAGCAGUUCCUGACCAUCCUGCCCAAGGAGCUCCAGGCCUGGGUGCAGGAGCACUGUCCAGAGAGCGGGGAAGAGGCUGUGAUUCUGCUGGAGGAUCUGGAGAAGGAGCUCGAUGAGCCACAACUUGAGAUGGUAGCCUACGGACAGGGACGAGAAGUCUGCUCUAGAGAGACGGUGCCUCUAGGCGAGCAUACAUCACUGAGCCUUCAGUCCCAGCCCGAGGAGCCCCAGCUCCCUCGUGACACUGCCCAAGAGUCCCACCCUACUGGAGAGACAGACACAUUUCUGUUUUGCACACCUGUUGUCCUCCCCCAGCUAAAAGGAGCAGGAGAACCGUGGUCUGACAACAGAGGAGCCCUACAAGGCGCCUGUUCUGAUGGACCGAGCAUGGCUGAGGACAGAGAAGUGGUGCCGAGGAAAGACUGUCCUAAGAUGGCGGAGUCCCGCGGGGAAGUCCUUUCCGCACAGACGUGGGAGGAGGCACGCGGGGGGCCCGGGCCUGGACAGGGCUGGGCAGAGGGGCGCCGGGGCGGCCCCCCGGGGCGGGGAUGGCACGCAUGUGACGAGUGCGGCAAGACCUUUGCCCAGAAUUCGGGCCUCACCCGCCACCGCAGGGUGCACACGGGCGAGAGGCCCUACGCGUGCGGCGAGUGCGGGAAGGCGUUCAGCCGCAGCUCGGGGCUGUUCAAUCACCGCGGCAUCCACGACGCGCACCGGCGGUACCGCUGCCGGGAGUGCGGGAAGGCCUUCAGCCAGAGCGCCGGCCUCAUCCAGCACCAGCGCAGCCACCGGCCGGAGCGGCCGCACCGCUGCGCCCAGUGCGGGAAGAGCUACGGCCGGCGCUCCUUCCUCCUGGAGCACGAGCGCAGCCACACGGGGGAGCGGCCGCACCGCUGCGCCCGCUGCGGGAAGGACUUCACCCGCCAGUGCAACCUCAUCCGCCACCAGAAGACUCACGCGGCCGCCGGGCCGCGGUGACUCUGGGGCGCGCCUGUCCCUGGUCACGGCCCGGCCCCCCGGGAGGGGAAGGCCAGGAAGCGUCGUCUUCUCGCCCCCUCCUCGCGUUUUGGAGCAGACGCAGAGCAGUGGUCUGGGCAAAUCCGAAGAGGAAGCUUUGCGUGUUUGCACCUGCUGCUUCCGCGCCGUGGCUCUCCCCCUCCCCACCCUGCUUCGCCCCGUCCCCACCCUGCUGCGCCCUGUACUCACCCUUCUUCACCCUGUACUCUCCA